rnacentral:rRNA from 1 species
UACGGAAGGCAGCAGCGGGGAAUAUUGCACAAUGGGCGCAAGCCUGAUGCAGCCAUGCCGCGUGUAUGAAGAAGGCCUUCGGGUUGUAAAGUACUUUCAGUCGUGAGGAAGGUGUUAAGGUUAAUAACCUUAGCAAUUGACGUUAGCGACAGAAGAAGCACCGGCUAACUCCGUGCCAGCAGCCGCGGUAAUACGGAGGGUGCGAGCGUUAAUCGGAAUUACUGGGCGUAAAGGGCACGCAGGCGGUUAAUUAAGUUGGAUGUGAAAUCCCCGGGCUUAACCUGGGAAUGGCAUUCAAGACUGGUUAGCUAGAGUCUUGUAGAGGGGGUAGAAUUCCAUGUGUAGCGGUGAAAUGCGUAGAGAUGUGGAGGAAUACCGGUGGCGAAGGCGGCCCCUGGACAAAGGCUGACGCUCAUGUGCGAAAGCGUGGGGAGCAAACG